UAAAAUUAAAAAAAAAAAAAAAAAAAAGGGAAAAUAAAGGAGACUUGAAAUUUUUGAACUAAAUAGUGGUGAUGGCUACACAUUGUGAAUGUAAUUAACACCACUGAGUUAAACACUUAAAAUGGUUAAAAUGGCAAAUUGUAUGUUAUACCUAUUUUACUACAAUAAAAAGUAUAAAAAAGAGAAGAUAUUUAACCAAUUGCAACAAAACAAAAUGUUAAGAAAUGAUCUUUUUAUGAGGCAAUUGGAAAUUUGAACACUAAUCA
rnacentral:lncRNA from 10 species